AGAUCCAAGAGCGCAUAUUAAAGUUGUUGCAGUUAAAAAAACUCGUAGUUGGAUUUCUUGCAGGAGCAACCAUUCACACACUCUGUAUGUGAAUUUGUGUUGUCUCUGGCCAUUCUGGGGAGAUCUUGUUUGGCAUUCAGUUGUCGAGCAGGGGAUACCCAUCGUUUACUGUGGAAAAAUAGAGUGUUUAAAGCAGGCUUAUGCCGUUGAAUAUAUUAGCAUGGAAUAAUAAGAUAGGACUUCGGAACUGUUUUGUUGGUUUGCGUUACGGAGUAAUGAAUAAUAGUGACAUUUGGGGGUAUUUGUAUUUCGUCGUCAGAGGUGAAAUUCUUGGAUUUCCGAAAGACGAACUACUGCGAAAUCAUUUACCAAGGAUGUUUUCA
rnacentral:rRNA from 1 species